UGCCAGCCGCCGCGGUAAUACGAAGGGUGCUAGCGUUGUUCGGAAUUACUGGGCGUAAAGAGCAUGUAGGCGGUUCGUUAAGUCUGAUGUGAAAGCCCGGGGCUCAACCCCGGAAGUGCAUUGGAAACUGGCGAACUUGAGUACGGGAGAGGAAAGUGGAAUUCCGAGUGUAGGGGUGAAAUCCGUAGAUAUUCGGAGGAACACCAGUGGCGAAGGCGGCUUUCUGGACCGAUACUGACGCUGAGACGCGAAAGCGUGGGGAGCGAACGGGAUUAGAUA
rnacentral:rRNA from 1 species